rnacentral:rRNA from 1 species
AUUGAACGCUGGCGGCAUGCUUUACACAUGCAAGUCGAACGGUAACAGGCCGCAAGGUGCUGACGAGUGGCGAACGGGUGAGUAAUGCAUCGGAACGUGCCCAGUCGUGGGGGAUAACGCAGCGAAAGCUGUGCUAAUACCGCAUACGAUCUAUGGAUGAAAGCGGGGGACCGUAAGGCCUCGAGCGCUUGGAGAGGCCGAUGUCAGAUUAGGUAGUUGGUGGGGUAAAGGCCCACCAAGCCAACGAUCUGUAGAUCGUCUGAGAGGACGACCAGCCACACUGGGACUGAGACACGGCCCAGACUCCUACGGGAGGCAGCAGUGGGGAAUUUUGGACAAUGGGCGCAAGCCUGAUCCAGCAAUGCCGCGUGCAGGAAGAAGGCCUUCGGGUUGUAAACUGCUUUUGUACGGAACGAAACGGUCUGGGUUAAUACCCUGGGCUAAUGACGGUACCGUAAGAAUAAGCACCGGCUAACUACGUGCCAGCAGCCGCGGUAA